UACGGGGGGGGCAAGCGUUGUUCGGAAUUACUGGGCGUAAAGGGCUCGUAGGCGGCCAACUAAGUCAGACGUGAAAUCCCUCGGCUUAACCGGGGAACUGCGUCUGAUACUGGAUGGCUUGAAUCCGGGAGAGGGAUGCGGAAUUCCAGGUGUAGCGGUGAAAUGCGUAGAUAUCUGGAGGAACACCGGUGGCGAAGGCGGCAUCCUGGACCGGCAUUGACGCUGAGGCGCGAAGCGUGGGGAGCAAACAGG
rnacentral:rRNA from 1 species